AGAGUUUGAUCCUGGCUCAGGACGAACGCUGGCGGCGCGCUUAACACAUGCAAGUCGAGCGAGAACCAGGGCUUCGGCCCUGGGGACAGCGGCGAACGGGUGAGUAACACGUGGAUAACCUGCCCUCGGCACCGGGAUAGCCCGGGGAAACCCGGAUUAAUACCGGAUGGCCCUUCCGGCUUUCGAGCCGGUCGGAAAAGGUAGCUUCGGCCUCCGGCCGAGGAUGGGUCCGCGGCGGAUUAGCUUGUUGGUGGGGUAACGGCCUACCAAGGCUCCGAUCCGUAGCUGGUCUGAGAGGACGAUCAGCCACACUGGGACUGAGACACGGCCCAGACUCCUACGGGAGGCAGCAGUGGGGAAUCUUGCGCAAUGGGCGAAAGCCUGACGCAGCGACGCCGCGUGAGGGAGGAAGGCCUUCGGGUUGUAAACCUCUUUCAGGAGGGACGAAGCUACUCGGGUGAAUAGCCCAGAGGGUGACGUACCUCCAGAGAG
rnacentral:rRNA from 1 species